rnacentral:piRNA from 1 species
CCAUGGCAAGUGUUCUUUUUUUGGCAGC